rnacentral:rRNA from 1 species
GAUGAACGCUGGCGGCGUGCCUAAUACAUGCAAGUCGAGCGAACGGACGAUAAGCUUGCUUCUCUGAUGUUAGCGGCGGACGUGUGAGUCACACGUGGAUAACCUACCUAUCAGACUGGGAUAACUUCGGGAAACCGGAUCUAAUACCGGAUAAUAUUUUGAUCCGCAUUGUUCAAAAGUGAAAGACGGUCUUUCUGUCACUUAUAGAUGGAUCCGCGCUGCAUUAGCUAGUUGUUAAGGUAACGGCUUACCAAGGCAACGAUGCAUAGCCGACCUGAGAGGGUGAUAGGCCACACUGGAACUGAGACACGGACAAGACGACUAAGGGAGGCAGCAGUAGGGAAUCUUCCGCAAUGGGCGAAAGCAUGACGGAGCAACGCCGAGUGAGUGAUGAAGGUCUUCGGAUCGUAAAAAUCGGUUAUUAGGGAAGAACAUAUGUGUAAGUAACUGUGCACAGAUUGACGGUAACUAAUCAGAAAGCCACGGCUAACUACGUG